rnacentral:rRNA from 1 species
GCGAGUGAAGCGGCAAAAGCUCCACUUUGAAAGCGUUUCGGCGCGUUGUAGUGUGGUUCAGUCUUUGAAUUUGGGGAAACUAAGUCCUUUGGAACAAGGCGCCAUAGAGGGUGAGAGCCCCGUGAGUUUCCCUUUACUAUUCUCCAAGUCUGUACCGAAGAGUCGAGUUGUUUGGGAAUGCAGCUCUAAGUGGGUGGUAAAUUCCAUCUAAGGCUAAAUAUUGGCGAGAGACCGAUAGCGAACAAGUACAGUGAUGGAAAGAUGAAAAGCACUUUGAAAAGAGAGUGAAACAGUACGUGAAAUUGUUGAAAGGGAAGGGUAUUUGGCUCGACAUGGGUCCUGUGCACCGUUGCCUCUUGUAGGCGGCGCUCUGCUGGGGCCUGGGCCAGCAUCAGUUUUCUGGCGGGGAUAAGGCCUUGUGAACUACAAUGUAGGGAUCGGGGCGAUGCCCGCACGGGGGACUGAGGACUGCCGUUAUUGUAGGAUGCUGGCAUAACGGCCAAAUACCGCCC